GACGAACGCUGGCGGCGUGCUUAACACAUGCAAGUCGAACGCUGAAGCGGUGCUUGCACCGUGGAUGAGUGGCGAACGGGUGAGUAACACGUGGGUAAUCUGCCCUGCACUCUGGGAUAAGCCCUGGAAACGGGGUCUAAUACCGGAUAUGACAUCGUGCCGCAUGGUGCGGUGUGGAAAGCUCCGGCGGUGCAGGAUGAGCCCGCGGCCUAUCAGCUUGUUGGUGGGGUGAUGGCCUACCAAGGCGACGACGGGUAGCCGGCCUGAGAGGGUGACCGGCCACACUGGGACUGAGACACGGCCCAGACUCCUACGGGAGGCAGCAGUGGGGAAUCUUGCGCAAUGGGCGAAAGCCUGACGCAGCAACGCCGCGUGGGGGAUGACGGCCUUCGGGUUGUAAACCUCUUUCGACACCGACGAAGCCAUCCUUGGGGUGGUGACGGUAGGUGUAGAAGAAGCACCGGCUAACUAC
rnacentral:rRNA from 1 species